rnacentral:rRNA from 1 species
GGGUUGUGAGGUUAAGCGACUAAGCGUACACGGUGGAUGCCCUGGCAGUCAGAGGCGAUGAAGGACGUGCUAAUCUGCGAUAAGCGUCGGUAAGGUGAUAUGAACCGUUAUAACCGGCGAUUUCCGAAUGGGGAAACCCAGUGUGUUUCGACACACUAUCAUUAACUGAAUCCAUAGGUUAAUGAGGCGAACCGGGGGAACUGAAACAUCUAAGUACCCCGAGGAAAAGAAAUCAACCGAGAUUCCCCCAGUAGCGGCGAGCGAACGGGGAGCAGCCCAGAGCCUGAAUCAGUGUGUGUGUUAGUGGAAGCGUCUGGAAAGGCGCGCGAUACAGGGUGACAGCCCCGUACACAAAAAUGCACAUGCUGUGAGCUCGAUGAGUAGGGCGGGACACGUGGUAUCCUGUCUGAAUAUGGGGGGACCAUCCUCCAAGGCUAAAUACUCCUGACUGACCGAUAGUGAACCAGUACCGUGAGGGAAAGGCGAAAAGAACCCCGGCGAGGGGAGUGAAAAAGAACCUGAAACCGUGUACGUACAAGCAGUGGGAGCACGCUUAGGCGUGUGACUGCGUACCUUUUGUAUAAUGGGUCAGCGACUUAUAUUCUGUAGCAAGGUUAACCGAAUAGGGGAGCCGAAGGGAAACCGAGUCUUAACUGGGCGUUAAGUUGCAGGGUAUAGACCCGAAACCCGGUGAUCUAGCCAUGGGCAGGUUGAAGGUUGGGUAACACUAACUGGAGGACCGAACCGACUAAUGUUGAAAAAUUAGCGGAUGACUUGUGGCUGGGGGUGAAAGGCCAAUCAAACCGGGAGAUAGCUGGUUCUCCCCGAAAGCUAUUUAGGUAGCGCCUCGUGAAUUCAUCUCCGGGGGUAGAGCACUGUUUCGGCAAGGGGGUCAUCCCGACUUACCAACCCGAUGCAAACUGCGAAUACCGGAGAAUGUUAUCACGGGAGACACACGGCGGGUGCUAACGUCCGUCGUGAAGAGGGAAACAACCCAGACCGCCAGCUAAGGUCCCAAAGUCAUGGUUAAGUGGGAAACGAUGUGGGAAGGCCCAGACAGCCAGGAUGUUGGCUUAGAAGCAGCCAUCAUUUAAAGAAAGCGUAAUAGCUCACUGGUCGAGUCGGCCUGCGCGGAAGAUGUAACGGGGCUAAACCAUGCACCGAAGCUGCGGCAGCGACGCUUAUGCGUUGUUGGGUAGGGGAGCGUUCUGUAAGCCUGCGAAGGUGUGCUGUGAGGCAUGCUGGAGGUAUCAGAAGUGCGAAUGCUGACAUAAGUAACGAUAAAGCGGGUGAAAAGCCCGCUCGCCGGAAGACCAAGGGUUCCUGUCCAACGUUAAUCGGGGCAGGGUGAGUCGACCCCUAAGGCGAGGCCGAAAGGCGUAGUCGAUGGGAAACAGGUUAAUAUUCCUGUACUUGGUGUUACUGCGAAGGGGGGACGGAGAAGGCUAUGUUGGCCGGGCGACGGUUGUCCCGGUUUAAGCGUGUAGGCUGGUUUUCCAGGCAAAUCCGGAAAAUCAAGGCUGAGGCGUGAUGACGAGGCACUACGGUGCUGAAGCAACAAAUGCCCUGCUUCCAGGAAAAGCCUCUAAGCAUCAGGUAACAUCAAAUCGUACCCCAAACCGACACAGGUGGUCAGGUAGAGAAUACCAAGGCGCUUGAGAGAACUCGGGUGAAGGAACUAGGCAAAAUGGUGCCGUAACUUCGGGAGAAGGCACGCUGAUACGUAGGUGAAGUCCCUCGCGGAUGGAGCUGAAAUCAGUCGAAGAUACCAGCUGGCUGCAACUGUUUAUUAAAAACACAGCACUGUGCAAACACGAAAGUGGACGUAUACGGUGUGACGCCUGCCCGGUGCCGGAAGGUUAAUUGAUGGGGUCAGCGCAAGCGAAGCUCUUGAUCGAAGCCCCGGUAAACGGCGGCCGUAACUAUAACGGUCCUAAGGUAGCGAAAUUCCUUGUCGGGUAAGUUCCGACCUGCACGAAUGGCGUAAUGAUGGCCAGGCUGUCUCCACCCGAGACUCAGUGAAAUUGAACUCGCUGUGAAGAUGCAGUGUACCCGCGGCAAGACGGAAAGACCCCGUGAACCUUUACUAUAGCUUGACACUGAACAUUGAGCCUUGAUGUGUAGGAUAGGUGGGAGGCUUUGAAGUGUGGACGCCAGUCUGCAUGGAGCCGACCUUGAAAUACCACCCUUUAAUGUUUGAUGUUCUAACGUUGACCCGUGAUCCGGGUUGCGGACAGUGUCUGGUGGGUAGUUUGACUGGGGCGGUCUCCUCCUAAAGAGUAACGGAGGAGCACGAAGGUUGGCUAAUCCUGGUCGGACAUCAGGAGGUUAGUGCAAUGGCAUAAGCCAGCUUGACUGCGAGCGUGACGGCGCGAGCAGGUGCGAAAGCAGGUCAUAGUGAUCCGGUGGUUCUGAAUGGAAGGGCCAUCGCUCAACGGAUAAAAGGUACUCCGGGGAUAACAGGCUGAUACCGCCCAAGAGUUCAUAUCGACGGCGGUGUUUGGCACCUCGAUGUCGGCUCAUCACAUCCUGGGGCUGAAGUAGGUCCCAAGGGUAUGGCUGUUCGCCAUUUAAAGUGGUACGCGAGCUGGGUUUAGAACGUCGUGAGACAGUUCGGUCCCUAUCUGCCGUGGGCGCUGGAGAACUGAGGGGGGCUGCUCCUAGUACGAGAGGACCGGAGUGGACGCAUCACUGGUGUUCGGGUUGUCAUGCCAAUGGCACUGCCCGGUAGCUAAAUGCGGAAGAGAUAAGUGCUGAAAGCAUCUAAGCACGAAACUUGCCCCGAGAUGAGUUCUCCCUGACCCUUUAAGGGUCCUGAAGGAACGUUGAAGACGACGACGUUGAUAGGCCGGGUGUGUAAGCGCAGCGAUGCGUUGAGCUAACCGGUACUAAUGAACCGUGAGGCUUAACCUUACAACGCCGAAGGUGUUU